rnacentral:rRNA from 1 species
GAUGAACGCUAGCGGCAGGCUUAAUACAUGCAAGUCGUGGGGCAGCAUGUCCCGCAGCAAUGCGGGAUGAUGGCGACCGGCAAACGGGUGCGGAACACGUACACAACCUUCCUUUAAGUGGGGAAUAGCCCAGGGAAACUUGGAUUAAUACCCCGUAAUAUAUAGAAGAGGCAUCGCUUUUAUAUUAUAGCAGCAAUGCGCCUGAAGAUGGGUGUGCGGCUGAUUAGGUAGUUGGCGGGGUAAUGGCCCACCAAGCCGACGAUCAGUAACCGGUGUGAGAGCACGACCAGUCACACGGGCACUGAGACACGGGCCCGACUCCUACGGGAGGCAGCAGUAAGGAAUAUUGGUCAAUGGACGCAAGUCUGAACCAGCCAUGCCGCGUGGAGGAUGAAGGUCCUCUGGAUUGUAAACUUCUUUUAUCUGGGAAGAAAUCCAUUUUUUCUAAAAUGGUUGACGGUACCAGAUGAAUAAGCACCGGCUAACUCCGUGCCAGCCGCCGCGGUAACAC